UUCCUAUUCUAGGGUAGCUCAAAACAGCUGGAAAUUCUCCAAGGUUUUAGGGAAGCACUGCUUGAUGCUAUAAAUGAAUUCAAGAAUAGAAGAGACUGGGUAUGUUCAUCGACUCGUGCUUUAUACACUGUCAGUCGAUGAAAGCUAUUACUUGGCACUCCCCAUCAGCUGCUAGAAUCAACAACAGGACGGCCGCUGAAGCGGUGGGAGAUUGGUUCUUUGAUCGGAGGGAGGUGAAGGAAAUAGAUUGUGAAUAUCCCUGCAGCCCGACAUGCUACAAUGCGGUUCUUGAUGAGCCCUACAAGGAAGACUGACUGUUUUGAAGAGUUUUGGCGAUUUAUUAAAAUUCUCCAUGAAUUGAUUGAUAUCUGUUGGGUUGAAUGUGAUCAGAAUUCAGACUUACUUGAGACCUGUUAAAAUUCGAGAACAUCAAUAUAGAUACGACGAAUGGAUUAGUAUGAGGAGUAAUGGUA